GAUGAACGCUAGCGACAGGCCUAAACAUGCAAGUCGAGGGGCAGCACAAGGAGCAAUCUGAGGUGGCGACCGGCGCACGGGUGAGUAACACGUAUGCAACCUACCUGUAAGAGGGGAAUAACCCGUUGAAAAACGGACUAAUACCGCAUAACACUGUAGAACCGCAUGGUUUGACAGUUAAACAUUUAUGGCUUACAGAUGGGCAUGCGCAUGAUUAGCUAGUUGGUGAGGUAACGGCUCACCAAGGCAACGAUCAUUAGGGGUUCUGAGAGGAAGGUCCCCCACACUGGUACUGAGACACGGACCAGACUCCUACGGGAGGCAGCAGUGAGGAAUAUUGGUCAAUGGGCGAGAGCCUGAACCAGCCAAGUCGCGUGAAGGAUGAAGGUUUUAUGAAUUGUAAACUUCUUUUGCAGGGGAAUAAAGUGUCCGACGUGUCGGAUUUUGUAUGUACUCUGCGAAUAAGGAUCGGCUAACUCCGUG
rnacentral:rRNA from 1 species